rnacentral:rRNA from 1 species
CUGGCUCAGGACGAACGCUGGCGGCGUGCCUAAUACAUGCAAGUCGAACGAAGCUUUCUUUCACCGAAUGCUUGCAUUCACCGAAAGAAGCUUAGUGGCGAACGGGUGAGUAACACGUAGGCAACCUGCCCAAAAGAGGGGGAUAACACUUGGAAACAGGUGCUAAUACCGC